UUUGGCACAUGACAAGCACUCA
rnacentral:miRNA from 1 species